AGGUCUCAAAUAUUCAAACUUCUUGUACUUUGAAACAAUUUAGGUCUCGUUUGAUGACCGUUUUGUUUUUGUGAUUAUUGCAAAUCAUGCUGGUGUUUGUAAACCAUGUGUCAGUGUCGGUCUCGUUUGAGUUUAAGAGCGACCGCUACUGAAGAGCUAAUCUCACCUAAUCCUUUACUGAUAAAAAGAAAAGUCAUGUUGUGUUUGGAGGUUGCUUUAGUUAAUUUGGUGUUCCAGGCAAAUCAUGUUGGUGUUUGUAAACCAUGUGUCAGUAUUGGUCUUCUCUCGUUCGAGUUUGAGAGCAACCGCUACCAAAGAGUUAACCUCACCUAAUCCUCUACUUGAUAAAAAGAAAAGUCAUGUUGUGUUUGGAGGUUGCUUUAAUUAAUUUGGUGUUCCAGGUAAUAAACCACGGCAUGUCGCC
rnacentral:lncRNA from 1 species